rnacentral:tmRNA from 1 species
GCUAACUCAGCUAUGGCAAUAACCAAGUGGCAGCACAAUGACGCAGCCGCAUCCGGGUUCAAGUCCCGGCGCCUCCACGCGCUCUAAAAACGAGCGGAGGGGGGAAACCAAGCGAACGGGACAAGCCCUUUAUUUUAUUUAAAAAAAAAGCUAAAAUAAAAAUAAGCAAAGCAGUAGAAGGGGGAGAAGGUCCUGCUAGCAAAUCGGGGGGGGCGACAAGCAGAGGUAGACGGCUGCCAGCAAAAGCUGAACACGCUUGCCCGCGACCUGCGCGUCAACAGGAAUAAGUGCAAACACGACAUCACAAGCUAGCGACGAAAGCAAGCUAGUCCCAAGUAGGGCAGCAAGCUUAUAGCAAAAGCCAAGCCAGCGCGUGCUGGCUAGCUGGAGCGGGGCCAGGGGGCGCCCGACAACACAAGCCCCCAGC